GUUUCUAUACUAAAUAGGGAGGGUACCAUCUAGGACUUAUAAAACUGCUAAUUUAAAUUUGUGACUGAUAAAAAAAAAUGAAGGACUUAUUCAUAUGCUUGCUUGUUCUGAUUAUCGUUGAAGUAAUAUCAGCUUACUACGUUCCGUCCUGGAACAGUAACCCAUGGCAACAGAGGAGCUACUUUCCAAGGUUUAACCCACAAGCAUACUUUCUGAACGAGUUUUACGAUGAAGUUUUCGACUAAUUACAAUGUUGCCUUCUUGGACGCCAUUAUUUUGUCCUAUUCCCGUUGUUGAUGUGGUCUCUUUUUUCUAUAAUGAAUAAAAUUAAUAAAGUUU